GGGAAAGAUGUUUUCAGAUCAUUGAAAAAUAUACGAGUCAACAAAAUUUGCCUUCAUGCCAGAAUGAAGAUGUGGAAAGCACAACACAAUUUAAUUAGCAAACGAGAUGGAGCUACUGAGAAACUUAAAAAGUGACCUAGGAACCAACGAGUCCAGUUUAAGUCAACGUGUAUUUUUAAAAGUGUCAAAAGAAUACGUACACAUUUUAAAGAAAAAAUAUGCUCUGUAUUACAAUUACUGACCACUGCUUAUGUAACACAGUUACCAUUUACUUAUGCUCUAUAUUAUAAAAUUUUACUGACCACUGCUUA